ACCUACCUGGUAAUAGGUGGAGAG
rnacentral:sRNA from 1 species